AUGGGCCAGUUCCCAGUCGUGCGCUCGUGGCCCAGACCAGACCCGGGCUGGUGUGUGGAGCCAGCCACGCGGGCCCGUCUGUCCUGCGUGCCCUGAGUGGGCGCAGAUGAGAGAGGGCGCGGUUGCUCCGUCCGCUUUUCUCCCCUCUCGCCCCCAUGCGGGGAGCCGUCCAGCGAGGCCUGGCUGGACUGAGCCCGUGCCGGACACGGUGCUCCGUUGCCGUCCUGGAGGGCCCAGAGGAUUGCUCGAGGUGUGCCCACCAGGCCCCUCCCCUGAGACAGGGGGCUGGGUGCCGUCAGGUUCUUUCUUGGCUGCCCCUGGAACCCGGAGGUGGCCCUUGCCUGGUUCCUGGAUCCUUUCACUUCCCCUUCCUCGUCGCCUUGCCGUGUGGAAGGGAAGGGCCGCUCUUAGCCCGCCAGCCCUGGCCAAGGAGGGGAACCCACUCGGAGGGUGGGGUGGCACCAAGGCCUUGCGCGGCCCAACGCACAAGGGGGGACGGCGCGCCCUGCUGCGGGCCCUCGCCCUGGCCCCGGUGCCACCAGUUUCCCUUGGCCGGGAUUCUUUGUGGCCUAGGCAGGCAGGCGCCCGUGCUGUCUCCGCACUGACCUAGGCACCCACCCACAUGAGGCGUCGGGAGGUGUGGGGCCGGGAGAACAUUGCUCUGCCUGGUUUCCUAGGCGGAGGCAGGUGUGUUGUCGGCAGAGACCCUCACUCAGGCCAAGUGCGUGAUGUCUCUUCUUCUUCCGCAGACGCCGAGCCCGGCACCCGGGAACCUGUUCCGGACGUGCCGCUCCCAACCAUGACUCCCAGCACCGAGGAGGCUGACCACGACCACGACCACGACCACGACCACGACCACGACCACGACCACGACGCCGAGCCCGGCACCCGGGAACCUGUUCCGGACGUGCCGCUCCCAACCAUGACUCCCAGCACCGAGGAGGCUGACCACGACCACGACCACGACCACGACCACGACCACGACGCCGAGCCCGGCACCCGGGAACCUGUUCCGGACGUGCCGCUCCCAACCAUGACUCCCAGCACCGAGGAGGCUGACCACGACCACGACCACGACCACGACCACGACCACGACGCCGAGCCCGGCACCCGGGAACCUGUUCCGGACGUGCCGCUCCCAACCAUGACUCCCAGCACCGAGGCUGACCACGACCACGACCACGACCACGACCACGACCACGGUAGGGGCCCGUGUGCCUUGUGUCCUCUGCCCCUGGGAGCCCGCUGGGUUGCCGGGGCUCCUUGAGCGAGAACGGGCUUUCCUAUUGCCUCCGGGACCGGGAAGGUGUCGCCAUGCGAUUCCUUGUCCCGAAACGCUGGCCUGUGCUCUGGAGCUGCGGGGACGUCCUCGGGGCUCUGCCCGGGAAGGAUGUGCUCCCUGGGGAGAGAGGGGCCGCGGUGCGAGUCCGGCGCUCCGAGACGGGGCCGUGUGUCCUCCCGGGUUCUCUGGUUGGCUGCACGCUGCCUGGGCCUGUCCGCAGGUUGUCCGUUGCUCUGCGUGGUGGUCUCCUAACCCGUGCGGGAGGGGCGUAGGCUUCCCCGCCCCCCACGUCUGCUCCCGCCAUGACCCCGGGGGUCUGGUGCAGCACUCCCGGCCCGCAUGCCUGGCGUUGCCACGGAGGCUGCGAGUGCAGAAGCCUCAUGGGACCCGGCGUGGAGUGCCCCACUGCCCCUGGUGGCCCAGUGUGCGCAGCGGACUUAGGCGCGGGCACGCUGGGCUCCGCGAGGGUGGUGCUCUGUGCCUCUGCCUCUCCUGAGACGUCCUUGCCUUCCUCUUGGCGUUGGCUGGUCUCCGAGCUCCCGGGACAGCGUCCAGGAGGCGUGGCCGCUGCCUGAGGACAAGUCCUCGAUGUGCCCUCUGACGCUGGCACGAGCGUGUUCUGGACCCGGGCCGUGCCCCCAGGCAGCUGGGGAGUUGUCUGCCUUGUAGUGCGGCGGGCCACCAGGAGAAUCUGACCCAGUGUCCUGGAUGGGCCAGUUCCCAGUCGUGCGCUCGUGGCCCAGACCAGACCCGGGCUGGUGUGUGGAGCCAGCCACGCGGGCCCGUCUGUCCUGCGUGCCCUGAGUGGGCGCAGAUGAGAGAGGGCGCGGUUGCUCCGUCCGCUUUUCUCCCCUCUCGCCCCCACGCGGGGAGCCGUCCAGCGGGGCCUGGCUGGACUGAGCCCGUGCCGGACACGGUGCUCCGUUGCCGUCCUGGAGGGCCCAGAGGAUUGCUCGAGGUGUGCCCACCAGGCCCCUCCCCUGAG
rnacentral:lncRNA from 1 species